rnacentral:rRNA from 1 species
UUAUAAGAGACAGCAGCCGCCGCGGUAAUACAGAGGGUGCGAGCGUUAAUCGGAUUUACUGGGCGUAAAGCGUGCGUAGGCGGCUUCUUAAGUCGGAUGUGAAAUCCCUGAGCUUAACUUAGGAAUUGCAUUCGAUACUGGGAAGCUAGAGUAUGGGAGAGGAUGGUAGAAUUCCAGGUGUAGCGGUGAAAUGCGUAGAGAUCUGGAGGAAUACCGAUGGCGAAGGCAGCCAUCUGGCCUAAUACUGACGCUGAGGUACGAAAGCAUGGGGAGCAAACAGGAUUAGAUACCCCUGUAGUCCCUGUCUCUUAUAC